AAUACAUAUACAGACGCACACACACAGCCUCAUCUGGAGCAAAUGAAAACCCACAAGCGAAAGACUGGAUGGUUGCUUUGAUGAAGCCGCUUCAAUGAAAGCCACUGAAACUGGAAUUGGAACUAGAUGUUUGCCUCACCUUCCAUUCAAACAUUUUCUUAUCAAAAAAAAAAACCACACACACACACACACACACACACACACACACACACACACACACACACACACACACA